AAACUGGUCGCCUUAAAACCAAUUUGAAACAGGUUGUUCAGGAGCAACAAUACAAAAACAAAGUGUAGACUGGAAUGUAUUACAUUUUGGCCAAACAAAAAGAUUUGAUUCAUUCUGGCUCAUGAAGUUAGAUAAUGGUGUUUAUGGUUUUGACAGUUCACUGAAACUUUUUCACUGAACUGGUUUCUUUCGGAUGCAUUUUCUUGAGUUCUACCCAUGACUGCCACAGUAGCAGUCCUGGGAUCAGAACCCACACACCGUUAAAAAAAAAACAGGUAAAGCCAACAGUACAGCCAGCCAGUUGCUGGUGUUGAGGUUGGGGCUUCUGGUGAGCCACUCUGGGAGGAAGGUCAUCCAGCAGCCAUACAUCUCGCACACGCACAGGGUGAUCUGCAGGAAAUGCCGGUAAUAUUUUUCCUUGACUAUGGCAUAAAUGAGGAACAAUGCCAGAGACACAUCUAGGGCGACGGCCAGAAUUUCCACAGACACAAUGGUUGGAUCAAAAUAAACCCAUCUUGCAUCAGCUUUGCCAUAUUCUUUCCCAGCGCGUCGUAGCAGAGCCAGAUGAGCGCCCCGCGGUCCGUCGCCCCCCGCCCGCGGCCCAGGCGCAGGCCCAGG
rnacentral:lncRNA from 1 species